UUUCAUUUCAAGAUUUUUGCCUCUUGUUGAGUUGAGAUUAAGACAUCCUGGGACUAAAGGGUCAAAAGUCUUCUUAUCAGUCUUGACUGGUCAAAGUUACCGUCUAUUGUUUGCUCUCACACACACUUGUCUGUGGACUUCAUGAGUAGAGCAAUUCAGCUCUCUUCCCCCAUAACACACACACACACACACACACACACACACACACACACACACACACACACACACACACACGCUGGGCUGUCUUUAAAGCAAACUUAUAGGCAAUAAUCUGUUGUGAUAGACAGGAGUGUAAUAAAGAGUGUGGGCCUAGGAAUCUAUUACUGGUGGUCAACUCCUGUGACUUAACAGUUCACUAAUUGUUGGCAUGUUUUAAAAGUUCUUUAUGCUUCAAUUCAUUUACCCGCAGAAUGGGGAUACUAGAGUAGCACGUCUCUCUUUCAGGAUUAUUCAAGGAUUAAAAGGGUGAAGGACAUGUCAAAUUCUAAGCAAUUACCUGUAUUUCGCUCAUGUAACCUGAGGGGGCAGGUUCCAGCCAUUACUCUCUGACAUAACACAAUGGCUUUCAAGAGUGAGACCAACUCUCAAUGUGAAGUACAAGUGCCUUGCUCUCCUCUCUUUGUCUAGACACACUCCUCACAGUCAACAGAGCACCAAAGAAUGCAUGAGGCAGAGACAGCUGGAAGAAUUCCAUUUAUUGUGGAUGCAUUUUCACAAUAUAUUUUUAUUGCAGCGAUCAAUUAUCAGUGAAAAAUAUUAAGUGUUUAUAACGUUUUUAACAAUGGCAGAUUCACAGAACAUGCUAGUCAGCUUGCAGUUUCCUCUCUUAAAGAUAACAGAGAGCUGUAAUCAAACAAGUAAAUGAGGAAUUUGCUUCUUCAAAGAUUAAAUCCAAACAGAAAAACUUUUACCCUAAAACUCAUUGUCAUCCAAAUAUUGGAAUAAAAGUUAGGAUCAAAACCAUCAUUUCACCACUCUGAACUUUCUUAAAAGCGAAAAUGACAAACAAAAAGCCUGUAAGAUAGCAGGGGAAGGCCUUGGUUAACACACAUUACCAUGAUCCCUCAAGCAUCUGCCUUAAAUCAAACUUUGAUCCAUUUUACUCCAAUGAUGGAAGUCAUGUCUAUGGGUGUGCCAUGUGCAUUCUAUUCAUCUUAUCAUAGACUUGUGUCUACUCUGUCGUGGGGAGAUGACUUGUGUAGUCUUAGUGGCUUUCCUUCCUUUGGCCCAAGUUUGCUAAAAGCUAGGGAAUCCAACUAACUCUUACUAAUUCAUGAGAAAAGUAAACUUCUCAAGGCAGUGGUCACCCCUUGAGCCAACCCUUAUCCUCUUAAAAAGAAAUCUGUGGAUUGGAAAUGUUAAAGGCUCUCCUACUGUGGAAGGAACGGAGAUAAAGAUAAUUUGGUUAAGUCAGCUGAGGUAUGAGUUUGUACAAUGACACUGUAUGCAUAGAAUGUUCUCUAUAAGAACAUUUGGUAAGACACUAGAGUACUUUUAUCUAUUGGGAAGAGUAAAGGCAUAAGCUGAAGUAGAAUCUGAUAUCUGAAUGAUGAAUUCCCAAAGGCCCUUGGUGGGAGGGGGGAGUAAAACAAUUGAAAUUUACAUAUACUUUUCAAAUUUCAAGAUAUUAUCAACUUAUGGCAGUACCAACUGACUACUAAAGGCAGACAUUUUUAAUU
rnacentral:sRNA from 1 species